CUAAUCCAAUGACUGAUGUCCUCAGAAGAGAAGAAGACACAUGGAAAAGACAAACAACCAUGCGAAGACGGAGGCAGAGAUUGAAGUGAUCUAGGGACAAGCCAAGGAAUGCCAAAGAUUGCUGGCAAUCACAAGAAACUGGAAAAGACAAGGAAGGUUCCUUCCUCCCCUCGAGCCUUCAGAGCAAAAGCACGGCUUUGAUUUCAGACUUCCAGCCUCCAGAACUGUACAGGCCAAUAUCCUACACUCCUCCAGCAGAAGUGCUCUGAAAGAAGGAAGUUGCUAAAGCCAGCACAAACGAAAGCUCAAUAUCUGAGGACAGAGAACAAAGGCACCGAAGUGUGUGCAGCCAGUGUCCGUAACAACACUCUCGGUCUGAAGGUCACUCUUGGAUGCCACAUCUUUUCUGGGUCUCCAGGGACCGUGAGGGGCUAAUGGCCUGGCUGGACAGCCAAGAACUCCCCUGUUCUGGAAGAGAUGUUUGGCCCACUUCCCUGUACAGACUCCUGGCCACACAGCACUUAGACACCAGCAGCUGCUCCAGUUUUCCUGAGGCUCUAAGGAGACCUGUCUACCCAAUUUACGAGCUCUUCAAGCUGCAAAAGGCCUCCCCAGACAAGGCUCAAGAACAUAAAUAUCUCCAAAGAUAGGCAAUUCAAGCUCUCUCGGCCUCAGUUGCCAUCUUCCUGGAAACCUCUGCGCCAUGAGAGCCAAGUGGAGGAAGAAGCAAAAGCACAGGCUAAGGAGAAAAAGAAGAAAGAUGGGACACAGGUCCAAGUAAACCACUAGCUUAUGCACCCACGGAAGCCACAGGAGCAGAAAUAAGGAAAGCCAGAGGCCAGGGACACGGGACCUCAGAAGAAAAAAAGGAGCCUCAUGAAAGAAUGCUAAGGUUUCUUUGGGAAACCCAAUAGAUAAAACUCCAUACCGAGAGAUUAAGGAUUCUUAACCCAGGGUCCAGGAACAGGCUCAGGAAUCCAACAGGCCCUGACACCUGUUUCCUAAAUGAAUCAGUGAACGCAUGAACUAGUUUACAAGACCUGGGUAUCGUCUCCAGCCAUCAAAAAAGAGACUUAAAUUGCUUCCAACCCCAGCAGCAGGCAGCUGGACUCACUGGGGAAUCAGACACUGGAAGAGGAAGCCUAAAUGCCUCCGAGGCCUCACAGCAAAAAGCCUGACCGAUGUUGAAAAAAGAGGUGGUUCUGCAUAGUGGCAUACACUCAAGAGCUCUUAAGCCACUCCCAGGUCCUCAUCCCAGCUCCCCUCAUUUACCUGCUCUGUCACCUCAGGCACAUCCUUUACCCUCUCUGAACCUACUUCCGUAUCUGUGCUGAGACAAUGAGAAACAAAGACAAGAAAUUUUAAGAAAAAAUCAGGCACCAAUGACCCAAAUGCCGCCUCAAGAUUUUGUCUCAUGCCUGCAAAUGGAAUCGGGAUGUUCUCCUAUGGCCCUAAAUACACAAAUGAGAGAUGUGACCUCCUGUUUGCUGGUCCUGAGGACUGCCACAAAAUCAACCGACCGGUCCCCAUAGGAACGUGGAGCUACUACAACCACAGGGGUUAUCUCAUUAUUUCAGAAUCAUUUCCUAAUUCCUACCAAGCUGGGAGCUUCCAAAGAGCAGGCUGUGGGGUCUCAGACUUUUCCACACCUGAAUAUUACAUCAUCUGACAUGUUUGAGACUCACAACAGACUCCCCAGACAAAACUGAACCUCUAGGAGGUAAAGGAGCACUUCCCAAUAAAGACCCCAGCAGAAACAUUUGUUCCCCAUCAUAUGCCCAGCGUGAAACCCCCAGAAGUCACUGAGGAUGAAAGUCAAGGGAAGGAGGGAAGAAGGCUUUUUGCAGUGAGGAAAAAAAAAAAAAAUAGGGAAUCUAAAAAUCCUGGCGAUUGCAAGAGAAAGAAACAGUGCAAACCCUAAAGGAGACAGACCGAUCGUAUUUUUCUACCCUGUGAUGAGACAGAAACCAUGAAUGAGGCUCAGCAGACUUUGCAUCCAGGAAACCCCUCAGCAGUAACAGCUCAGAGGCAGGGACAGAGGGAAGAUGGGUGUUCCUCCAGAUUGCUCCUGGGGGCUCACUGUCACAGCUAGAGGCAACUUCAGGCGGGCACCUAUGAGUCAAGAUUCAAGGACUGAGCCAUUUGGGGGGUGAUGUCCCUUUAAAUAAAGGAAGUAAGGCAGGGCUCCGCAGCUGUGGCUAUAAACGCUCUCUCCCAGCCUCUGUCAGAACCACCCACUGCUCUGGCAAGCUUGUGUCUCCAGCCCUGGUCACCCCUCCCGCUGGCUCAAAGCUGGCCUCAGAUUUUGAGGACUGGCUGCACCUCGCGGGCCCGCUCCCAUAUAGACAAAAACCAACCCCUAGGUGCAGCAGAGGGGUGAGGAUAGGGGGAUCAGCUGGUGGCCAUGGAGAAAUAAAACAACCAGGAUUAUUUGCUCCGUGGGGGUCCUGUCUCAGCAACCAUGCCUGGACUGGAUUCUCCUCACACCUAAACGGUCACCAGCGAGACCUGGAGGCCACCAGUGGGACUCUUUGGGGGGGGGGGGGUCACAAUUUCAUUUUCUUGGACCCUGUAUUCCAAAUGGAAGGUCAACAAGGAUGGCUUCCCCUUCCUAAGGGGUCUCUAGGAAUCUAUCGGUUCAAAAGAAUUCCAGAAACCCAGGGACUCUCAGGGGCCACACUGAAAAAAUUCUUCCUGCCCAGCUGAGCAGUGGAGGCGGCCAGUCCGCAUUUCACUCACCAAUAAGCAUGGAUUCUCUCUGGUAUUCCUGAGUGAGGUAGGACCGCUGGGUCACACAGUAUACGUAUCUCUCCAAGACAUACCAGCACAUCUCAUAGUAGAAGGGGUAACGGAAUUUGGGCUGCACCUGAAAGCAAAGACCCAGGAGUAGAAGUCAGUUUCUGGAGGGCAAAGGAGAAACAGGGAGGAAACUGGGAGGAGGGGGUUUCUGCAGGUGGGAGUUAUUUUCACCAUCUUAAGCAAGAGCACAAAUGGUGUGAGGGGAAAAAUGGGGGAGGCGGGCCGGAAGGCAGGAGAGAGGCGCUGGAAGGGGCAAGAUACCAGUAGCAUGCACAAAUGAGGAGGAAGAGGGGAGAAAGAGGCCUAUGUGACAGCAUCAUUUCAAAGCUCCCUGAGCUGCAUGCCGCCAGGGAAAGGCGGAUGGGGUCCGCUUUGUGCUUCUGUGAGAUGCAGAGAAACAAGAGUUGUCCCCUGACCUACUGACGGAGGGUGCGGGUACCUGCGGAUGUGAUCCUGAUUCCAGCUACAACAAACACAGGCUCCUCCUUGUUCUCAAAAAAUUCUUACACAGACUCUGCUAUCCCUCCCUGCCCCUUGAAAGGCAGAAAUCGACCCCCAAACCUUACCCAUUUGCAGACGGGCUAUCAAGCAUCUCCUGCACUCUGGGAAGGAGGCAACACGAGGCGGACCAAUGAGGAGGGAGGGGGUGUGGCCUCUCCUACCGCCAGGGGCGGGGCCUCAGAGGGGCCCACCUCCUGCUCCUCCCCGACAACCACCUGGCACUGCCCAGCCCAUAUUCCAGAAGGACUCCCUAGACCCAAGUCCCCACGGUGACCUGGGACCACUCUAACACCAGGGUCUGGUGCAGGAAACCAGAUGGAGAUUCCCUUUUGGCAGUUUCUUAUAGGGGAGGAAGUGUAGGUGCAGACAGCUUUGUGUAUCAGAAUUAUGAAAAGGCCUGGGCUCCAGGAGGAUUCUGAUGGGUCUAUAUGGACGAGAUGGCAGAGGAAGAUGGGAAGGAAGCAAUACCACUGAUGGCCUUGCACAGAUGAACCUUCUGGAAACUUCAUCCUGAGAGGGAGAGGAAGAGAAGUCUCCCCUCAUUGUUGCUGAACCCAAGGGAAACCGGCUGGGUGAAAACAAAUAAAUGCUGAUGAAGGAAUUCAAA